UUUGUCUCUAUUUGGUAAACUUGGAAAUGUAUGCUCUUUCCCUUUCCAGGCUGGUUUUGUGGCUGGCCAGAGAUCCAAGGGAAGGUUUGAGAAACCCACAGUUUCUUUCCCAUGAGAGGCCACAAAGUUAAUGUUAUCUUUUUUUCAUAGUUACUUUUUUCUAACUUGAAAAUAAUUAGGAUGCUGCUUCUUAAUGGAUAAGAAAUGUAGAGCAUUAUAUGGAGUGACUGUGAUGAGGGAAAGAAGAAAAAAAAAUGAAAGAAGUUGUGUUACUUAACUGAUUGUGUCAACUUGAGCAAGAAAUGACCAACUAAGUGGGAUCAGCAUAGUUCUGAAUGCAACUGAAGGGAUUUACUGAAGACAGAAGACCCAGCCUGGAUGUGAGUGACACCAAUGAAUAUAAAGCUUGUCACCUGAAUGGAACAAAAGGGAAAUGAAGAAAGACUCACUUCCUUCAUCUUGGUCAUUACCUCCUGGAUUCCAGCACAGACUUUUCAGCUUCCAUCCCGACCCUUUGGCUUCCAGUGAAGACUCUUUAGCCUUCCAUGGCAGACAUUUUGACCUCCUGAUAUGGACUCUCAUGGGACACUAAAAUGAGCUCCAGGCUUUUCACUGGAUUCUUUGAAUCUCCCAUGUGCAGACAGCCCUAUUGUGUUUUGCCACACCUGACUCUGUGAGUGGCCACUUCAGUCCAAUCUUGUAAACUCUUAGGUCUUUGUAUAUCUUCAUUAAAUCUGUUUCUCUAAUGA